GAUGAACGCUGGCGGCGUGCCUAAUACAUGCAAGUCGAGCGAACAGACGAGGAGCUUGCUCCUCUGACGUUAGCGGCGGACGGGUGAGUAACACGUGGAUAACCUACCUAUAAGACUGGGAUAACUUCGGGAAACCGGAGCUAAUACCGGAUAAUAUAUUGAACCGCAUGGUUCAAUAGUGAAAGACGGUUUUGCUGUCACUUAUAGAUGGAUCCGCGCCGCAUUAGCUAGUUGGUAAGGUAACGGCUUAGCAAGGCGACGAUGCGUAGCCGACCUGCUAGGGUGAUCGGCCACACGAGAACGGGAACACGGUCCAGAGGCCUGCGGGAGGCCGCAGUAGGGAAUGUUCCGCAAUGGGCGAAAGCCUGACGGAGCAACGCCGCGUGAGUGAUGAAGGUCUUGGGAUCGUAAAACUCUGUUAUUAGUGAAGAACAAAUGUGUAAGUAACUAUGCACGUCUUGACGGUACCUAAUCAGAAAGCCACGGCUAACUACGUG
rnacentral:rRNA from 1 species